rnacentral:rRNA from 1 species
AGGGUUUGAUUAUGGCUCAGAACGUACGCUGGCGGCACGCCUAACACAUGCAAGUCGAACGAAGUAGCAAUACUUAGUGGCAGACGGGUGAGUAACAUGUAGGUAUCUGCCCUUUGGCCUGGAAUAACACGAGGAAACUUGUGCUAAUACCGGAUAAGUCUUUACGGAGAAAGCUUUAUGCACCAUUGGAUGAGCCUGCACUUGAUUAGUUUGUUGGUGGGGUAAUGGCCUACCAAGACUGUGAUCAAUAGCUGAUUUGAGAGGAUGAUCAGCCACAUUGGGACUGAGACACGGCCCAAACUCCUACGGGAGGCAGCAGUGGGGAAUCUUGCACAAUGGAGGAAACUCUGAUGCAGCGAUGCCGCGUGAGUGAAGAAGGCCUUUGGGUUGUAAAGCUCUUUCGUCGGGGAAGAAAAUGACUGUACCCGAAUAAGAAGGUCCGGCUAACUUCGUGCCAGCCGCCGCGGUAAUA